GACGUAGGGGGCCAGCGUUGUUCGGAAUUACUGGGUGUAAAGGGUUCGUAGGCGGUGUGGCAAGUCGGGAGUGAAAUCUCUGGGCUCAACCCAGAGACUGCUUCCGAAACUGCUGUGCUUGAGUGUGAGAGAGGCUCGUGGAAUUGCAGGUGUAGCGGUGAAAUGCGUAGAUAUCUGCAGGAACACCCGUGGCGAAAGCGGCGAGCUGGAUCACUACUGACGCUGAGGAACGAAAGCGUGGGUAGCAAACAGG
rnacentral:rRNA from 1 species